UACGUAGGGUGCGAGCGUUGCCCGGAUUUAUUGGGCGUAAAGGGCGCGUAGGCGGCCACGCACGUCCGUUGUGAAAUCGCCCGGCUCAACUGGGCGGGGUCAGCGGAUACGGUGUGGCUCGAGCAAGCUAGGGGGCAAUGGAAUUCCCGGUGUAGUGGUGGAAUGCGUAGAUAUCGGGAGGAACACCAGUGGCGAAGGCGGUUGCCUGGAGCUUUGCUGACGCUGGAGGCGCGACAGCGUGGGGAGCAAACAGG
rnacentral:rRNA from 1 species